rnacentral:rRNA from 1 species
UACGGGAGGCAGCAGGUGGGGAAUAUUGCACAAUGGGCGAAAGCCUGAUGCAGCUAUGCCGCGUGUAUGAAGAAGGCCUUAGGGUUGUAAAGUACUUUCAUCGGGGAGGAAAAAACAAAACUAAUAAUUUUAUUUCUUGACGUUACCCGAAGAAGAAGCACCGGCUAACUCCGUGCCAGCAGCCGCGGUAAUACGGAGGGUGCUAGCGUUAAUCAGAAUUACUGGGCGUAAAGAGCACGUAGGUGGUUUUUUUAAAGUCAGAUGUGAAAUCCCUGGGCUUAACCUAGGAACUGCAUUUUGAAACUGAAAUACUAGAGUAUCGUAGAGGGAGGUAGAAUUCUAGGUGUAGCGGUGAAAUGCGUAGAUAUCUGGAGGAAUACCUGUGGCGAAAGCGGCCUCCUAAACGAAUACUGACACUGAGGGUGCGAAAGCGUGGGGAGCAAACCAGGGAUUAGAUACC